CCUACGGGAGGCAGCAGUGGGGAAUAUUGGACAAUGGGGGGAACCCUGAUCCAGCGACGCCGCGUGAGGGAAGAAGGCUUUCGGUAUGUAAAGCUCUAUCAGCAGGGAAGAGAGAAAGGACGGUACCUGACUAAGAAGCCCGGGCUAACAACGUGCCAGCAGCCGCGUUAAUACGUAGGGGGCAAGCGUUAUCCGUAUUUACUGGGUGUAAAGGGCGCGUAGAGGGCGAUGCAAGUCGGAAGGGAAAGGCGGGGGCCCAACCUCCGGACUGCUUUGGAAACUGUAUGGCUGGAGUGCAGGAGAGGUAGGUGGAAUUCCUAGUGUAGCGGUGAAAUGCGUAGAUAUUAGGAGGAACACCAGUGGCGAAGGCGGAUUACUGGACUGUAACUGACGUUGAGGCUCGAAAGCGUGGGGAGCAAACAGGAUUAGAUACCCUGGUAGUC
rnacentral:rRNA from 1 species